CAAUAAGCUGAAAAUUAAGUUUUCUAAAUAUAUUCGGAUAAAAUGAAAGGAAAUUUGGAGAAAAUAACAAAGGAACUCACGUUGCCGGAACCACAUCAUAGGUAUUUAAAUGGAUACAAUGAUUGAAAAAAUAAAUACAGAGAAAAAAACAAAAGCUAUAUAAACACGUCAUAAAAUGAACACCACCUUUGCCAGAGAAAAUUACCC
rnacentral:lncRNA from 1 species